GAGUCGGUGGCAUAGUUGUUGGUUAUCACAUCUGUCUUGCAUUUUGACCUCUGUCUUCACGAGCACAGAAGGCCCCCACUUCGAGCUUGAGCCAACUCA